UGGGGAAUCUUGGACAAUGGGGGCAACCCUGAUCCAGCGAUGCCGCGUGAGCGAAGAAGGCCUUAGGGUUGUAAAGCUCUUUCGCCCGCGACGAUGAUGACGGUAGCGGGAGACGAAGCCCCGGCUAACUCCGUGCUAGCAGCCGCGGUAAUACGGAGGGGGCUAGCGUUGUCCGGAAUUACUGGGCGUAAAGCGCGCGUAGGCGGUCCACCAAGUCGGGGGUGAAAGCCCGGGGCUCAACCCCGGAAUGUCCUCCGAGACUGUUGGACUGGAGUUCGGGAGAGGAGAGCGGAAUUCCCAGUGUAGAGGUGAAAUUCGUAGAUAUUGGGAAGAACACCGGUGGCGAAGGCGGCUCUAUGGCCCGCAACUGACGCUGAGGCGCGAAAGCGUGGGGAGCAAACA
rnacentral:rRNA from 1 species